rnacentral:rRNA from 1 species
UACAGAGACUGCGAGCGUUAUUCGGAUUCACUGGGCGUAAAGGGUGCGCAGGCGGCCGAGUGUGUGAGGCGUGAAAGCCCGGGGCUUAACCCCCGGAAUUGCACCUCAAACUACACGGCUAGAGCAUUGGAGAGGGUAGCAGAAUUCACGGUGUAGCAGUGAAAUGCGUAGAUAUCGUGAGGAAUACCAGAGGCGAAGGCGGCUACCUGGACAAUUGCUGACGCUCAGGCACGAAAGCGUGGGGAGCAAAAGGG